GGGGGGCAUAACAUGCAGUCGAGCGAACCACUUCGGUGGGAAGCGGCGAACGGGUGAGUAACACGUAGGUGAUCUGCCCAUCAGACGGGGACAACGAUUGGAAACGAUCGCUAAUACCGGAUAGGACGAAAGUUUAAAGAUGCUCCUGGCAUCACUGAUGGAUGAGCCUGCGGCGCAUUAGCUAGUUGGUGGGGUAAAGGCCUACCAAGGCGACGAUGCGUAGCCGACCUGAGAGGGUGAACGGCCACACUGGGACUGAGACACGGCCCAGACUCCUACGGGAGGCAGCAGUAGGGAAUCUUCGGCAAUGGGCGAAAGCCUGACCGAGCAACGCCGCGUGAAUGAAGAAGGCCUUCGGGUUGUAAAAUUCUGUUAUAAGGGAAGAAAGGUGAUAGGAGGAAAUGACUAUCAAUUGACGGUACCUUAUGAGAAAGCCACGGCUAACUACGUGCCAGCAGCCGCGGUAAUACGUAGGUGGCAAGCGUUAUCCGGAAUUAUUGGGCGUAAAGAGCGCGCAGGUGGUUAAUUAAGUCUGAUGUGAAAGCCCACGGCUUAACCGUGGAGGGUCAUUGGAAACUGGUUGACUUGAGUGCAGAAGAGGGAAGUGGAAUUCCAUGUGUAGCGGUGAAAUGCGUAGAGAUAUGGAGGAACACCAGUGGCGAAGGCGGCUUCCUGGUCUGCAACUGACACUGAGGCGCGA
rnacentral:rRNA from 1 species